UGUGGUUGGACCGAGCGGAUGAUCUUCGGAGAUAAGUGUCCGCAUUCCCAGACAGCCGAUCUCUGAAGAACGGACAACGCAUCUCUCUUUCCAUCCUCAUCUUCAUUCUGAUUGAUGUACACGUACUAUAUACAAAUGGAACAAUUCCUAUACGCGGCAUCAUCUCCAGCCUGAAUUGCAGACAGAAUCCGAAAGGAGGAGGAACAAGGGAAAUGUUGGCUCUAGGAUUCAAUAUUCAAUAUUUCCUAGAUUUGUUCGUUGCCGGCUUUUCCCUUAUGAUCGGAUUGGGUUUCUUCACUUUCAUUGCCGCCAUUCUCUGUUCUAUCGCUUUCUUGCAUAACGCCAGAGAUGUCUAAGCCUUCUUUUUAGAUAGAUGAACCACUGAACAAACAAUGCUCAGUGGUGGAAGAUGAGUUACGUUGUUGACAACACGACUAUGGAUUGCAACAUUACAUGAACAAUGAUGAAACAGAUCUCUUUGCUGUCUCCAUUUUAGAAAUCUAACCAAGACAUGUUGUUUUCAGUCUUCUUUUCUAAAGCUAUGUGUUUUAGUGUCUGUUUAGAGUACUGUUCCAGUAUGGUGGUGCUAGAAACUGAAUGUGACAAAAAAACCCUAAUAUAUACAAAUGAUUUGCUAAAUUUUAGUUAAAUUUUGUGUUGUUAAAUCUAUGUUAAGAUAUGACAUUCAUGAUGCUUGUUGGAUCUGGUUGGUUAUGUCUGAUAAUAAUUUUGGAUCU